GUCUUCGUGGCUUAGUGGUUAGAGCGCCGGUCUCAUAGAAUUCAUGAAACUCCUAUGAUCCAAUCCUUAGAUUGGGAUAUCCGGAAAUCGCCAGUUCGAUCCUGGCCGAGGACA